AGUUCCAGACUGAGGAGACACAGGAGGAGCCGUGGGAGGGGCUGGGCCCAAAGGAGCUCGGAGGCUGAGGAGACUGGCAGGGAGACUGGGAGCGUGGGCAGGAUCCGGUGUGGAAACCAAGCUGGAAGAGAAGGCUGGUGUCUCAUCAGGUCUGAACAGGACUGGGUUUGGAUUUGGGGAUUUUAAUCUGAGAGCAGUAACUCCCCUGUCAAAGUCCUGGAGCAGAGGGAUGACCCUGGCUGCUGGGUGGGAGGAAGACUCAGAAGGAAGCAGGAAUGCAAAACGAGUAUCUAUGAAAAAAGACCACAGCAAAAGUCUGGACAAUUUUCCAGUGAGAUCAGUCGAGUCUUAAUCUCCAUGACGCCAAGACUUGGCUACAAAGUGGAAACUUCGGUCAAUUCCCAGCUGUUCCAUCUCUGUGUGUCCCCCCGCAUCUAUGUGGCUGUUCAGGUUUCAGACUGUUUGGCUGGUGCCACGGAGACAACAUCAUAGUUGGCAGCUUUCCCCAAUGACACAAUUUUUUUUACCCUUCCUCAACUCCCUUCACUGGGGCAGCUAUAGCCUCAAGUUCUUUGUCAUCUCAUCUAGGCAGCGGUUGCUUAAAACACAAAUCAGCGACUUUAUGAUGAGCGAGAAUACGCAUCAUUCUUUUCUUCUCCUUGGAACACGCAUGAUAACUCCACAGAAAAGCUGAUGCAACAUGGCAGCCUUAAUUAUCCCAAAGGUCAUUCAUUGUCACAGCAACCUAAACACUUACACCAUUUCCAAAAUAAUCACACCAGAACUGACAGACAGUUUUGCAUUCAUUUGUAAUGUUAAGUGCUUAAUCAACAAGUUAAAUAUUCUUCAGGUUCACAAGAAGGAUGACAAUCCCUGAAUAGUUUUCUAUCACCUAAGUGGGGUUUGUCUGAUUAGGGCUGACAGAUGUAUAUAAGAAAACAAGCAGCUUUACCUACACCUUUUUUUUCCUUGUUGGGAAUAUGAUAAUGUAAUAAAAUUAGAUCUUAAGA